UAAAGAAGCUUGCUUCUUUGAUGACGAGUGGCGGACGGGUGAGUAAUGCUUGGGAAUCUGGCUUAUGGAGGGGGAUAACUACGGGAAACUGUAGCUAAUACCGCGUAGAAUCGGGAGAUGAAAGUGUGGGACCUUCGGGCCACAUGCCAUAGGAUGAGCCCAAGUGGGAUUAGGUAGUUGGUGAGGUAAAGGCUCACCAAGCCGACGAUCUCUAGCUGGUCUGAGAGGAUGAACGGCCACACUGGAACUGAGACACGGUCCAGACUCC
rnacentral:rRNA from 1 species